CCUUCCUCAAGCUCCUGACAGACAUAAGAUUUUUUACCAUUUUUCUUGUUUCCCCUUUUUGUCUGUAACCUAUUUUCAUUAAUUUGUUGUUUGUUUUUCUAAAGGAAGCGUUCUAGGUGGGGUCCAGUCUGGAUCAGGAAGUGCUUGGGACCAGCUGUGGCGUGGAUGGGCCGUGCCCUUGGAGAAGACUGAGGACAUCAUUUGGGACCAGCUUUUCUUGUGGCAGCGGAUGGUGUGAGCCGGGCUCUGCGGAUGCUGAGGCUGCUCUGGGCUCUGCCAGGGCUCUGCUGGGCUCAGCACCAGGCCGGGAUCAGCCAAAGAAGAAACGCUGUGACCUGCAGCAGAGACUUGAGCAUUUUGGCAAUGCAGCUCAAGUCUGCAGAGUGUCCACCUCCAAGGGAAAACAUGACACCCCCCAAAAAUUAAACUUGUUCCAUAACUUCUGAAAUGAAA